rnacentral:tRNA from 1 species
GCUUUGUGGUGUAUGACACGUUGGAUUGCAAAUCCAGAGAAGGAGGUUGACGCCUCCCGGGGCUUUC